GAAGACCUUCUCAGACCUUCUGGGAGUCCAGUUUCAUAAAGGUAGAAAAUGAAGUCUAAAGCAUAGUUGCCAAUGCUGUGCAAGAGUUGAGUAGUGAAAAGCUUUUUAUCCUCCUGGAGGCACAUAGAGAUACAAUACUGCUGAGGUGCAGACAUCUUUUCUACAAACUCCAUGUCAUUUAGUUGGUGACUGACAUAACAGAUAAAGAAAAUGUGAUGGAAGCUACAAGAAAGCUAAAGGUGUACGAAAGUUUUUAAGCUCUGCAG